UUAGUGUAGGCCUUCAUUUCUU
rnacentral:siRNA from 1 species